UACGUAGGGUGCAAGCGUUGUCCGGAAUUAUUGGGCGUAAAGAGCUCGUAGGCGGUCUGUCGCGUCGGCUGUGAAAUCCCGAGGCUCAACCUCGGGUCUGCAGUCGAUACGGGCAAACUGGAGUGUUGCAGGGGAGACUGGAAUUCCUGGUGUAGCGGUGAAAUGCGCAGAUAUCAGGAGGAACACCGAUGGCGAAGGCAGGUCUCUGGGCCACUACUGACGCUGAGAAGCGAAAGCGUGGGGAGCGAACAGG
rnacentral:rRNA from 1 species